rnacentral:rRNA from 1 species
UAAUAUGUACAUGCCUAUGACGUUAAUGCAACAGAUCCCAUUAGAAAUCUACAGUUAAGCACGCUUGGGCUAGAGUACUAUUGGGAUGAGAGACCUCUUGGGAAGUCCCAGUGUUUUACAUGCC